rnacentral:lncRNA from 1 species
GGCUGGGCUGGGGCAGAGAGUUUCCUGAGGUGGGUCAGGGGACUGGAAACCAUGAGGCCUGAGCCCCGGGGGAGUGGUCACCAGGCAAAGGCCCGACAGGCCCUGGAAAGAGGCGAGGACAGGAGCAGGACGGCCACCGGCCAAGUGGGGCGAGGCACAACAGGCCGUCCUUCCUCCUCUGAGCUCCGGCUUCCCACACUGUGAGAGGCCCAAGGCCCCUCGUGGAGCAAAGCUAUGGGGGGUGAAGGUGGGAGCUGCCGUGAUGGUCCUUGUGCGGCAGGGAAGUUGACUGGGGGGGUGGGAACCCCCGAAGGCAAUGGGCCCUGCCUAGAGUCCUGAGAUGUGAGCGUCCCCAGGCCUGCAGACCAGGUUCUGGGACCUCCGCAGACGGCACAGAGGCUGGGACCUGACCUUGGCCUCUAUGGAGGGGGUCCCGGGGGUCGUGGGUGGAAUCAGAGUGUGUGGGAAGGAAGGUGACUGCGCUGUCCCCCAACCGCCCUGCAGGGGUGAGCUCUGAGACCUUCCUUGAGAAGAUGGUGGCAGGAGAGGUGCCCUCAAUUGCCAUCAGCCUGAUGAAAACGCACAAUAAAAUGGAAUAGAAAAUCCAUUGACAAGAAUCAUCUCCAAGCCCUGGACAGACAGGAGAGCCAGAUGUGGGGACAGAUGUGCUGUGAGGACAUGUGUGACAAUUUGGAUCCUUCGAGGCCCAGCUGCGACCCUACCAGCCCCCACCUGGCCCGUCCGUGAGACUUGGACCAGCACCUGCGGGAGUCCAGGGGUACUUGCGGCAGCAGCUUUAGAGCAAGAGGAGGGAGGCCAAGGAGAGGGCUGUCAGGGGAGUGGCCAUCACGAGAGGACGUUGUCUGCAAACAGGCGGACGAGCAGCCAGAAAAUAGGGGCGGCCGGAGGGAGGGGUCCGCGCGGCGGGGGAGGGUCGCGGGGGGCGAGGGCCGGGGGCGCCCUGCGGGAGGGGCGUCAGCUCCG